ACGUUGUUAUCUUUAUCAAAUAUUUCAAAAUCCACUGCGGUACACCGGAACAUUGGUUAACAGUAUGAAGGUAGCCACACACGGAACCGUUUGUGUCGUUUAUAUUGCUACGUUAGCUUUACUUUUUGAAGGAUGCCUGGUAGAAAGCAGAGGGGGAGGACGAGGUGGAAGGAGUGGCCGUAGCCGAACUGGAAGAGGAGGCAGCGAGGAUAUACCCUGGUGGACUUACCUCGUUGCUCUAGCAGGUGCUGCAUUGUUAGUUGGUGUCGGUAUCUUGGUGACUAAGUGGUGUAUCAAAAAACAUUGUGACUGGUACUGAACCAGCAUUCAGACACUGUAUAAGUAAACUGCAUGAAUGACUGUUUGCUUUUCUAUGCGAAUAGAUCCAUCAUAUAGGCCAACAUGGUUCAGUCGGCCAGCGCACAGUUGAUCACAUAAUCGAAUGCCAGAAAAUUAUUGUAUUAUUGAACUUAAUAUUCCGUUUGAAUUAGGGUUUUUUUGCUUUUCUUUCUUAUUUUGUUUUGUAUUUUUAACUUGUCAAUGUGAUCCUUAAAUUAUUUUAGGUGCCGAACCUUGUGUAUGUACAUGCCGAUUUUGCGUCCCGGUGAUAACAGUCGGAAUACGAUUACAUAUAAAGUUUAUGCAGACGAUGUAUCUUUCUGUAGUCACAUCUUAAUGAUAUAUAUCUUUCAUGUCUUUGUACCGAGAAGUAUGUACGAUUUUUUGUCCCCUGCCUUUUUCGAAUAAUAAAAGGGGGAUAUAGAAAUUUGCUGCGUCCUUCCGUCAUUCCGUCCGUCCGUCACACUUCGUGUCCGGUCCAUAACUCUGCCAUCAAUAAAGGAAUGCAUAAAUGUUUCCCAUAAUGAGACGACGUGGUUGCGCAAGACUCAGACCCCCAGCUUCAAGGCCAAGGUCACACUUAGAGGUCAAAGGUUAACAGGGUAUAUUUCGUGCCCGGUCCAUAACUCUGCCAUUCAUAAAGGGAUAUUGUAAUUACUUGGCACAAGUGUUCCCCAUAAUGAAACAACGUACCUUGCGCAAGACCCAGACCCCUAGUUUCAAGGUCAAUGUCGCACUUAGACGUCAAAUGUUAACAUGGUCUGUUUCGUGUUCGGUCCACAACUCUGCCAUUCAUUAAUGGAUUUUGAAAUUUCUUGACACAAAGGUAUAAUGAGUUGAUUUGUCAUGCGCCAGAUCCAGACCCCUGGCCAAGGUCAAGAUCACCUUUGGAAAGCAUUUUAUUUUGUCUGGUCUGUAACUUUUUUACGCAUUGGUGUAUAUUCAAAUAACUUUGCGUAAAUAUUCACCAUUACAAGACAUUGUGUCAUGUGCUAAGGUCAAGGUCACGGGCACCUGAGUUAACUUUCUUUUUAUAUAUAUAUGAGAUUAUUUCCCUUUUAUAUGAUAAAGUACAAUACAUGUACAUGUGUCUAUAUCAGUUUUCCCACUAUUUCAAAAAAAAAGUAAAAUUAUGUUUUAUGUAAGAUGAUUGGUACUGAUAGAUAUAAAAAGCAGUAAUCAAGUGUAUACGCUUGUAGAAUGCAAACCCAGGCACGAGUUGUAAGUUAAUGGUAUAUAUAAUUUAUAUCUAAAUGCAGCAACACAUUAAGUUGAUACGUAGUGCACCACUGUAUCAACAGUAGAAUUAACUUUUUUUCUGGUGUGUAAUUGUUAUAUUUGUAUCAUAUAAGUUUCAUGCAUUUCAUUUGUUUACUAAUUACCUCCCUUUAAUAUGAUAGAAAAUUUCAUUACAUUUUUAUUUAUUUUUCCUUACCAAUUUAAAAAUAGAAUCACAUUAAAUCUUUAAAAUUGCCAAGAUACGAGUUAUAUGACCCAGGGAAGUGCCUACGCCUUUAGUAUCUUGAACAAUGAUUUGGGUCCAAUCGCUAAGGUGACUAUGUCUUAGACUAGCUGACAAACGAUGUAGAAUGUCCUUUGUUAAAACGUAGAGACCAAAUAUCUCCUAUAUAGAAUUUUCCUCUGGUUACCUUGCCUAAAUGAUUCGUGUACCAAUGAUUCGUAAAUGGUUUCUAUUAGCAGCUUAAUAAUUUCAGGGAUCAGGCAAAUCACUAAAUGUUUCAAACCAACAAUCUUCAAUUAAUAAUAAAAAGCUCAAACUCUGGAGGCUGGAGACUCUAUACUUGACUGGUCUUUUUGUUGAAGUUCCCGUCAGAUAAUGUCUUUGAAUCAACAACAUACGAGUCCUAUCACAUAGAUGCUCUUAAUUGAAGUUUAUAACUCUAUAUGAAUGCCUUGACUCCUGGAAUGCUCAGCGCCUAUAUGCUAUCAUAUGUAGCAUUCAACUACCAUAUAGGUAUAUCCCCGAUGCCUUGGCUGUACUUCGCCAAUAACGCUGAACCGUCUAUAGGCUGGAACUCUCCUACUCUCAGUAGAUUACACAACUCUGGGUCUCUGUCUCAGCUUUCCGAUGCUCAGCCUAUAUUUGCUAUAGUCUAUAGCAUUCAACUACCAUAAAGGUAAAACUCCUAUGUGCUGGCCCUAUAGCUCGAAACCUUGUUGAAAUUCUGCAACUCUUCUUUAGUCUAUCAACUUCAAACGUCUUCUUUUUUAAUGAUUUAUCCGCCCUGACAGGGUACUGGGAUAAAUUAUUAAUUGAAUCCUCGAUGUGUCUUCUUCGACCGCUGGAUACCGAAUGAACUCUCUGUUAUCCCUCUGCCUAUUUAUACCCUAGCAGACGUGCUAUUUAUAGAACUUGUUUCUGAUUGGUCCAAAUUUAUACAUAUGGUUUUACAACGAGUACUUGCUCUAACAAAUAUCUGGUUCCCUUUAACUAUUGUAUAUGGCAUAAUGUGUGAUGCUGGGAUCCAGCUAUUAACAUAAUUAACACAAAUCAGCCACAAAUGACCCAAAUCCUAUUAUUAACAAUAAUUCAACAAUAAUUAUAGCAAUAGUAGCAUGAAAAGGGAGUCAAGCACUAUCUGUGCUUAAUGGGUUACGUUAUCAAUAUAUCAAACAUACAAAUUAUUCUGACAAAAAUAUAGAUAUUAGCUUUUAAAAGCAUUCACCAAUUAUAGACUUCCUGACAUUUUCAAACUUUAUAAUUUACUUCAUGAACUAUAUGAUCAUAUUGUUAUGACUUAUGUAUAUGGAUUCCGAUGUUGAUAUAGCACUUUAUGCUGUACAUUUACCGGUAUAUGAAAUGUAUGGAAAGUCAUAUCUGUCUUCUGAUGUUGAAAUAGCACUUUAUGCUGUACAUAUAUUAGUAUAUGAAGUGCCUCUACUUGUAUGUGCAGUGCUUAUACAUGUAUAUGAUGCGCUUAACACUGUAUAUGGGGUGCUUUCAUCAGUAUUUGCGGUGUUUUUAACUUUAUAUGCGGUCCCUUCAGAUGUAUAUGCAAUGCUUUUAUCUGAUUGUGCGGUAUAUUUAACAUUGUAUGCGAUCGUUUCAACUGUUUAUGUGGUGUUUUCAACUUUAUAUGCGUCGCCUUUAUCUGCAUAUGUUGUGUAUUUAAUUAUGUAUACUGUACUUUUAACUAUAUGCGGAUUUAACUGUACACGGGAUGCUCUUAUCUGCAUAUACGGUGAUUUUCACUUUAUAUGCUUUGCUUUUGACUUUAUUUGCGAUGCUUUAAACUACAUAUGCUGUGCUUUUAACUUAAAUUUAUAAUACUUUUUCUACUGUAUACAUGGUACUUGCAUCUGUAUAUAUAUUGGUUUUACAUUUCAUGCUGUGGUAUUAGGACGCUCGCUACAGUUUCGUAUUUUUUUUCUCAAUAAUAGAUUUUGGUGAAAUGUUUUGUAUUUGAAAAAUGAAAUAAAAAUACUAGGUCA